UGGUUGCCAUAACUCCGAGCUCACUAUGCUAAGUCUAAGGAUAGGCGUUUUGAGCCAGUGACAUAUUGUCACAAGGGCAUAAUUGGAAAUGAUUAUGCCUCCCGUGUUUGGAAAGGUGUUCCGUGGCGCAACAA
rfam:Vibrio sp. AND4 1103602000601, whole genome shotgun sequence.